rnacentral:rRNA from 1 species
GAGACUUUAAGUCUCCUGAAGGAACGUUGAAGACGACGACGUUGAUAGGCCGGGUGUGUAAGCGCAGCGAUGCGUUGAGCUAACCGGUACUAAUGAACCGUGAGGCUUAACCUU